GGGCCUGUGGCGUAGUUGGUAGCGCGUCUCGUUUGCAACGAGAAGGUCAGGAGUUCGAAUCUCCUCAGGUCCACCA
rnacentral:tRNA from 4 species